AUGAGACGGCGUGGCGGAAUCGGAGCUCGCUGUCGAUGCAGCCCGAAACCCGCCUUUUUCAUCACGGCGUACAGGUUUCGCAUUACACUCUUAGAGAAGACGACAUGGCGGAACCGGAGCUCGCCGACAACGCAGCCCGAGACCCGCCUUUCCCAUCACGACGUACAAGUCCUUGGUGGAACCAAUAUCCGCAACGACGGGUCUAAGACCGGUUCCUCCUUCAUGAGGCCCGCAUCCCCGACGAACAGGUCAAUGGCAUACAGAUCCUUUACUGAACCGAAGAUUGCAACGACGCGGUCCGAGACCGGUCCCUCCUUCGAGAGGCGCACCCAUCAUGGCGGACAGGUCCAUGGCUUCGCCGGUGCACAGGUCACUCUUUCGCGUAGUACCAGCCCAAGGCGAUGCGGCCUUUGCGACACCACUUUCCACGGCCCUGUGAGGCGGCGCCUUUGCCUUGGCAGACUGCCAAAUACUUGGCGUCUAGCCAAGAUGAGGCGCCAACCACCCCGGCCAUGA
rnacentral:rRNA from 1 species